GAACGCUAGCUACAGGCUUAACACAUGCAAGUCGAGGGGCAUCAGGAAGAAAGCUUGCUUUCUUUGCUGGCGACCGGCGCACGGGUGAGUAACACGUAUCCAACCUGCCCUUUACUCGGGGAUAGCCUUUCGAAAGAAAGAUUAAUACCCGAUGGCAUAAUGAUUCCGCAUGGUUUCAUUAUUAAAGGAUUCCGGUAAAGGAUGGGGAUGCGUUCCAUUAGGUUGUUGGUGAGGUAACGGCUCACCAAGCCUUCGAUGGAUAGGGGUUCUGAGAGGAAGGUCCCCCACAUUGGAACUGAGACACGGUCCAAACUCCUACGGGAGGCAGCAGUGAGGAAUAUUGGUCAAUGGGCGCUAGCCUGAACCAGCCAAGUAGCGUGAAGGAUGAAGGCUCUAUGGGUCGUAAACUUCUUUUAUAUAAGAAUAAAGUGCAGUAUGUAUACUGUUUUGUAUGUAUUAUAUGAAUAAGGAUCGGCUAACUCCGUGCCAGCAGCCGCGGUAAUACGGAGGAUCCGAGCGUUAUCCGGAUUUAUUGGGUUUAAAGGGAGCGUAGGUGGACUGGUAAGUCAGUUGUGAAAGUUUGCGGCUCAACCGUAAAAUUGCAGUUGAUACUGUCAGUCUUGAGUACAGUAGAGGUGGGCGGAAUUCGUGGUGUAGCGGUGAAAUGCUUAGAUAUCACGAAGAACUCCGAUUGCGAAGGCAGCUCACUGGACUGCAACUGACACUGAUGCUCGAAAGUGUGGGUAUCAAACAGGAUUAGAUACCCUGGUAGUCCACACAGUAAACGAUGAAUACUCGCUGUUUGCGAUAUACAGUAAGCGGCCAAGCGAAAGCAUUAAGUAUUCCACCUGGGGAGUACGCCGGCAACGGUGAAACUCAAAGGAAUUGACGGGGGCCCGCACAAGCGGAGGAACAUGUGGUUUAAUUCGAUGAUACGCGAGGAACCUUACCCGGGCUUAAAUUGCAGUGGAAUGAUGUGGAAACAUGUCAGUGAGCAAUCACCGCUGUGAAGGUGCUGCAUGGUUGUCGUCAGCUCGUGCCGUGAGGUGUCGGCUUAAGUGCCAUAACGAGCGCAACCCUUAUCUUUAGUUACUAACAGGUUAUGCUGAGGACUCUAGAGAGACUGCCGUCGUAAGAUGUGAGGAAGGUGGGGAUGACGUCAAAUCAGCACGGCCCUUACGUCCGGGGCUACACACGUGUUACAAUGGGGGGUACAGAAGGCAGCUAGCGGGUGACCGUAUGCUAAUCCCAAAAGCCUCUCUCAGUUCGGAUCGAAGUCUGCAACCCGACUUCGUGAAGCUGGAUUCGCUAGUAAUCGCGCAUCAGCCACGGCGCGGUGAAUACGUUCCCGGGCCUUGUACACACCGCCCGUCAAGCCAUGGGAGCCGGGGGUACCUGAAGUACGUAACCGCAAGGAUCGUCCUAGGGUAAAACUGGAGACU
rnacentral:rRNA from 1 species